GGUAAGAUUGUGUUGCAAUCGGAUAACUCGUGGUAUGGUCGUAGUGAGAACGUGAUGAGCGUAGAAAGAUCUUGAUAAGCGUAGUAAGGUCGCAGAAUAAGCGCGGUGAGAACGUGUUAUACUCGUAGCGGGAUCGUUGUAGAAGCGUAAUGAGGACGUAGUAGCAUCGUGAAAGCAACGAAAAUUUAGAUUUUCUUGCCGCUCAUACCGCGACCUCACCACGAUCUAAAUUUAAUUUAGAUCGCGGUGAGCGUGGUGCGAUCGUGGUCUAGUGGGACUGGGGCUUUAU
rnacentral:lncRNA from 1 species